rnacentral:lncRNA from 1 species
UCCAAUCAGCUGAAGAUGUUAAAAGCAAAAACUGAAGUUUCCUAAAGAAGAAGGAAUUCUGCCUCAAGACUGUAUCAUAGAAAUCUUUCCUGAAUUUUCAGCCUGCUGGCCUGCUCUAUGGAUUUUGAACUUGCCAUCCCCCACAAUCAUUGAGAGGGAAGGAAGUUGAGUUACAGAUGGUUAACUCCCACUUGUAUGUCCCGUGCUGGUGAAGUAAUACCAGGUGUACAUCAACUGUUAUGGGAAUGAGGUGGAAACAAGGGUCUUUGAAUAGAGGUGGGGGGAGCAAACCUCUGCUAAAGUAGACACAGAGAUCAGAAGCAACGAAGUCAAAGCUGCUUCCCACCAAGCUGUGUGGUC